GACGAACGCUGGCGGCGUGCUUAACACAUGCAAGUCGAACGAAGAGAAAUGGAAGCUUGCUUCUAUGGAUCUUAGUGGCGAACGGGUGAGUAACGCGUAAUCAACCUGCCCUUCAGAGGGGGACAACAGUUGGAAACGACUGCUAAUACCGCAUACGAUCCAAUCUCGGCAUCGAGAGUGGAUGAAAGGUGGCCUCUAUUUAUAAGCUAUCACUGAAGGAGGGGAUUGCGUCUGAUUAGCUAGUUGGAGGGGUAACGGCCCACCAAGGCGAUGAUCAGUAGCCGGUCUGAGAGGAUGAACGGCCACAUUGGGACUGAGACACGGCCCAGACUCCUACGGGAGGCAGCAGUGGGGAAUCUUCCGCAAUGGACGAAAGUCUGACGGAGCAACGCCGCGUGAGUGAUGACGGCCUUCGGGUUGUAAAGCUCUGUUAAUCGGGACGAAUGGUUCUUGUGCGAAUAGUGCGAGGAUUUGACG
rnacentral:rRNA from 1 species